ensembl:lncRNA
UAUUUUGUUGCAGCACCCGCAAACUACUUCCCGCAGCUAUGCUCUGAUGUGUUGUUCUAUGGGUCUGAGAGAGGCUACAGUAACAUUCCCGUCAAGGUGUUUUCAGAGGGUAGAAGUAGGCAUACGAAGAAAAAAAAGCAUUGGGGGGUGGAAACUAAAUACCUCUGGUUUUUAAACCGCUGUAAUUCGACCAACAAAGAGAAGGGGUCCGAGACUGUUUUAGCUGAACUGAAAUGCGUUUUUAAUCAAAUACAUUCGUUUUGGAUUUUAAACCCGCGUGUUUUUUUUUCAUGCAAGUGAGUAAACUUUCUGAGGGGCGGGUUUACUUUUUACCCCAGUCUGUCUAUUCGCGUCAAGCAGGCGUCACCACCCCAUUUUUGGGGAGUUGGUGCGCUCCUUACCUCAAACUCAACUGGAUGGAAAUCCGUGGACACCAAAAGUCCCGAGUUAUUUCUGGAGCUUUGUACUGGGUUGAAGGAGGAUAAGAAAGCGGGGGGGUUACUUUUCACCAAUUGUCAUGAUAAUUGUUGUACAUAGAGAAAUAAGGAAAAAUCCUGCUGUUAUUUUCGCUGGAUGGAACUCAGUAAAAAGGUUACGCUCUGGGUAAAUCCUGCUUCUUGCGCUUCAACCAUCCAGAGGAGGCCAGCCAUAUGAACAGCAUGCUGCCUCUGAAGACCCCUGUCUCACCCCUGGGCUACAGCACAGACUAUCUGAAGUUUAGUAGUGACUACAGACAUGGGGAGGUGGGAGGUGCCAGCAGCGCCAGAGGGAUGCGCUCAGCCUCAGAGCUCCGUGAUUUGAUGGACACCUUACAACGCAAGAAGAUCGCCCUGGAGACAAGCCUGAGAGCCAAUGGGGACGCUAGCCCCUCCUACUUCAGUAUGACACAGUCUCCACCCACCACGUCUGUGACCUCACCCACCUCGAUGUGGUCAGCCUAUCAGGAACAGGCUAGGCGCUUCUACGGCUCUGAUCGUCCUCCUCUCUCUGGCAAAGCUGCCGCCCCUCGCUCCCCCUCUCGGCGCUCUGACCCCCCUUCCUCCCGAACCUCCAUGACCCGGAAACAAUCAUACCAAUCACAGGACAGCCUGCUCAUCUCCCCUGGCAAUGGGCGACGCCCACUAAACCCAAACUCCUCCCCCCUGGUGUUGAUGCGGAACUGUGGAGGUUCCUCUAACUCAGUGGCCGGUGGUGAUAGCCUCUCCCCUCCUCCACCCUCAUCCCUCUUUCCAACUAGUGGAGCAGCCAGCAUGCCCUCCAGUCCCCGCCUGGGACUACGAAGCCACGGCAACCAUGAGCCGGUGCCUAGCAACCGAACCAGGAAGUACUCUGCAGGUUCUAUAGGCGGCAUAAUGGAAAGUCACAGCUGCUCAUUGCCCCGCCUCUGCCCCUCAUCACCUCGUUCCCAUGACAACGGAGCCCUGGCCCUGUUUUCCCUGACCUCUAAUCCUCUACGCAACUCCUCUCACAACAAUAGCCAAAACCAUACCACAAACAACAACUACAAUCAUAACCAAAUCACUAACUUCACCUACAGCCAGGCUCAAAACAUGAACCGGAACCAAGGAGAGGGGGUGGAAUCCAUCUCUCUCUCCAUCCCUGAAUCUCCCACCCAGGCCCCUCCAGACAUGACCUCACCGUCCCUAUCAGGGGGCUCUUCCAGCCCCGGUGUGGCCAAGAUACUCAGCUUCACCUCCACCAGCUCCACCUCCAGCCUUCAGGAGCCAAAGAGGUCAGCCAGCCGAGGAGCCUCCCCUGGACCAGAGCUCUUUCUGGGGGAGAGGCGGAGAGAGCACAGGGGGGGAAGACUGGAGCCUGGGCUAGGAUUAGAGGAACGAAGGCAGUCAUUUGGAAAGGGAGGGGUGGGGCUGGGGGCGGGGUUGACCCCACCAGGGGGGUUCAGGGUGAGGAGUGGCAGUAUCAGCUCCCUGAGUGGGAAGGAAGAACUGACUGACUACCACCAUCGCCAGAGAGACGAGAGACUACGAGAACAGGAAGUGGAGAGACUGGUGAGUUGUGUGUGUGUGUCUGAAAUUAUCCAAAUGAAAUAGUAAUUCAAUUAGGAACAGGAUGGGUGGAAUCAGAUGACUUCCCUCUCACCUCUCGACCUCUUGAAGACAUUGUUCAGGAGGUGCACUGUUUGGGCGUACGCACACACACACACAGAUGAAUAUGCACACACACACAUGUUCCCUGAAGGAGGUUCAGUGCCAAGGUAGAUACCUCUGGCUGCUAGCCUAUGCUAAGAUACGUAGCUAUUCUCACUCCUUCACUUUGUUGGGUCUGGUUCAGAGGAAAGUACAGACGUCUUUGGGCUCUCCUUGGUGUGUGUGUGUGUGUGUGUGUGUGUGUGUGGUUCCAUAAGUCAGGCCAUCUGGAGUUCCGCCCAGUUGGGUUGGUCCGGGUCAUUUUGGAACCCAUAACAGAAAUGUCAGAUGUGGGUUAGAACCAGAUUGAAUUAAUGACUGGGAAUAUACCGCAGGUGGAUAUACACUCUCCCUCUUUCUCUCGCUCUUUCUCUCGCUCUUUCUCUCGCUCUUUCUCUCGCUCUUUCUCUCGCUCUUUCUCUCACUCACUCGCUCUUUCUCUCGCUCGCUCACUCGCUCUCUCUCGCUCGCUCACUCACUCUUUCUCUCGCUCACUCUCUCUCACUCACUCUCUUGCUCUUUCUCUCGCUCUCUUUCUCUCGCUCUCUUUCUCGCGCUCUCUUUCUCUCGCUCUCUUUCUCGCGCUCUCUUUCUCGCGCUCUCUUUCUCGCGCUCUCUUUCUCUCGCGCUCUCUUUCUCUCGCUCUCUCUUUCUCUCGCUCUCUCGCUCGCUCUCUCUCUCACACUCUUGCUCAUUCUCUCGCUCACUCUUGCUCUUUCUCUCGCUCUUUCUCUCUCUCUCUCACUCGCUCUCUCUCUCUUUCUCUCUCUCUCUCUUUCUCUCGCUCUCUCUUUCUCUCGCUCUCUCUUUCUCUCGCUCUCUCUUUCUCUCGCUCUCUCUUUCUCUCGCUCUCUCUUUCUCUCGCUCUCUCUUUCUCUCGCUCUCUCUUUCUCUCGCUCUCUCUUUCUCUCGCUCUCUCUUUCUCUCGCUCUCUCGCUCUCUCGCUCUCUCGCUCUCGCUUUCUCUCGCUCUCGCUUUCUCUCGCUCUCUUUCUCUCGCUCUCUCGCUCUUUCUCUCGCUCUCUCGCUCGCUCUUUCUCUCACUCACUCUUGCUCUUUCUCUCGCUCUCUCGCUCACUCUCUUGCUCUCUCUCUCGCUCACUCUCUCGCUCUCUCUCUCGCUCUUUCUCUCGUUCUUUCUCUCGCUCUUUCUCUCGUUCUUUCUCUCGCUCACUCUCUCGCUCGCUCUCUUGCUCUCUCUCUCACUGUCUCGCUCUCUUGCUCUCUCUCUCUCAUCUCAAUUCAAUUCAAAAGGCUUUAUUGGCAUGGGAAACAGUGCAUUCAGAAAUUAUUCAGACCCCUUGACUUUUUCCACAUUUUGUUACGUUACAGCCUUAUUCUAAAAUGGAUUCAAGUUUUUUUCCCUCAUCAAUCUAAACACAAUAAUAAUGACAGUGAAAACAGGUUUUUAGAAAUACAUCAUUUACAUAAGUAUUCAGACCCUUUGCUUUGAGACUUGAAAUUGAGCUCCGGUAAAUCCUGUUUCCAUUGAUCAUCCUUGAGAUGUUUCUACAACUUGAUUGGAGUAAAUUCAAUUGAUUGGACAUGAUUUGGAAAGGCACACACCUGUCUAUGUAAGGUCCCACAGUUGACAGUGCAUGUCAGUGCAAAAACCAAGCCACGAGGUUGAAGGAAUUGUCUGUAGAUCUCUGAGACAGGAUUGUGUCGAGGCAGAAAUCUGGGGAAGGGUACCAAAAUAUGUCUGCAGCAUUGACCACCGAGACUGUUCCUUGAGUUGGCCUUCCAACCACACUGAGCAAUCGGGGGGAAUGAGUGUUGGUCAGGGUGGUGAACAAGAACACGAUGGUCAUUCUGACAGAGCUCCAGAGUUCCUCUGUGGAGAUGGGAGAACCUUCCAGAAGGAAAACCAUCUCUGCAGCACUCUACAAAUCAGGCCUUUUAUCCUCUUUGGGCUGCAAUCCCGUUAACGGGAUCGAUAUGACAACAGCCAGUGAAAGUGCAGGCCGCCAAAUGAAAAACUACAGAAAUCUCAUAAUUAAAAUUCCUCAAACAUACAUGUAUCUUAUACCGUUUUAAAGGUAGUCUUGUUGUUAAUCCCACCACAGUGCCUGAUUUCAAAUAGGCUUUACGGCGAAAGCACCACAAACGAUUGUUAGGUCACCACCAAACCACAAUAAAAACAGCCAAUUUCCCCAGACAAAGAGGAGUCACAAAAGCACAAAUAGAGAUCAAAUUAAUCACUAAACUUUGAUUUUCAUCAGAUGACACUCAUAGGACUUCAUGUUACUCAAUACAUGUAUGUUUUGCUUGAUAAAGUUCAUAUAUAUAUAUAUAUAUAAAAAAAUCACGUUACAUUCACUAGUUCCAAAAACAUCCAGUGAUUUUGCAUAGCCACAUCGAUUCAACAGAAAUACUCAUCAUAAAUGUAGAUGAUAAUACAAUUUAUACACAUGGAAUUAUAGAUAUACCUGUCCUUAAUGCAACCGCUGUUUCAGAUUUCUAAAAAACUUUACGGAAAAAGCAAACCAUGCAAUAAUCUGAGACGGCGCACAGAACAAUCAAGUCAAAAUAGCCACCAUGUUGUAAUCAACAUAAACCAUAUAUUACAUGCUAAAUAUUCAUCAGAAUGCACUCUCAGGAAUCCCAGGUCCACAAUAAAUGCUUGAUUUGUUCGAUAAUGUCUGUUAUUUAUGUCCAAUUAGCUACUUUUGAAGGCGUGUUUGGUACACCUAUCCAAACGCUGGAGCUGGUCGACCAUUUUUUUCAGACAAAAUCUUGAAAAAGUUACAUUACAGGUUGAAGAAACAUUUCAAACUAAGUACAGAAUCAAUCAUUAGGAUGUUUUUAUCAUAAAUCUUCAAUAAAGUUCCAACCGGAGAAUUCCUUUGUGACUUGAGGAGGAACGGAACGCAGGAAGAUAUCAUGCGGUAUGCGCGUGACCUGGAACUGGCUCUCUGCCAGUAGUCUGACUCAUUUCCCUCUCAUUCAGUCCCACAACACAGUAGAAGCCUCAUUCAAAAUUCUAUAGACAGUUGACAUCUAGUGGAAGCCCGAGGAAGUGAAUCGUCAUUCAUAUCUCAAGGGGAUUUCAAUAGGGAAUGGGUUGAAUAUAUACCAACCUCAGAUUUAUCACUUCCUGGUUAGAUUUGUUCUCAGGUUUUUGCCUGCCAUAUGAGUUCUGUUAUACUCACAGACAUCAUUCAAACAGUUUUAGAAACUUCAGAGUGUUUCUAUCCAAUACUACUAAUACUGCUAAUAUAUGCAUAUUAUUAGUAUCUGGGACAGAGUAGCUGUCAGUAUACUCUGGGCACACCUUAUUCAUCCAAGCUACUCAAUACUGCCCCCAUGUCACCAAG